rnacentral:rRNA from 1 species
AUUGAACGCUGGCGGCAUGCUUUACACAUGCAAGUCGAACGGUAACAGGCCGCAAGGUGCUGACGGGGGGCGACCGGGGGAGUAAUGCAUCGGAACGUGCCCAGUCGUGGGGGUUAACUACUCGAAAGGGUAGCUAAUACCGCAUACGAUCUAUGGAUGAAAGCGGGGGCCCGUAAGGCCUCGCGCGAUUGGAGCGGCCGAUGUCAGAUUAGGUAGUUGGUGGGGUAAAGGCUCACCAAGCCAACGAUCUGUAGCUGGUCUGAGAGGACGACCAGCCACACUGGGACUGAGACACGGCCCAGACUCCUACGGGAGGCAGCAGUGGGGAAUUUUGGACAAUGGGCGCAAGCCUGAUCCAGCAAUGCCGCGUGCAGGAAGAAGGCCUUCGGGUUGUAAACUGCUUUUGUACGGAACGAAACGGCUCUGGUUAAUACCCGGGGCUAAUGACGGUACCGUAAGAAUAAGCACCGGCUAACUACGUG